AGCAGUGGGGAAUAUAGCACAAUGGGGGAAACCCUGAUGCAGCGACGCCGCGUGGAGGAAGAAGGUCUUCGGAUAGUAAACUCCUGUUGUUGAGGAAGAUAAUGACGGUACUCAACAAGGAAGUGACGGCUAACUACGUGCCAGCAGCCGCGGUAAAACGUAGGUCACAAGCGUUGUCCGGAAUUACUGGGUGUAAAGGGAGCGCAGGCGGGAAGACAAGUUGGAAGUGAAAUCCAUGGGCUCAACCCAUGAACUGCUUUCAAAACUGUUUUUCUUGAGUAGUGCAGAGGUAGGCGGAAUUCCCGGUGUAGCGGUGGAAUGCGUAGAUAUCGGGAGGAACACCACUGGCGAAGGCGGCCUACUGGGCACCAACUGACGCUGAGGCUCGAAAGUGUGGGUAGCAAACAGGAUUAGAUACCCUGGUAGUCCACACUGUAAACGAUGAUUACUAGGUGUUGGAGGAUUGACCCCUUCAGUGCCGCAG
rnacentral:rRNA from 1 species